rnacentral:piRNA from 1 species
UAGAGAGUGAUACAGACUUAACAAAACGCA